GAUGAACGCUGGCGGCGUGCCUAAUACAUGCAAGUCGAGCGGACGGACGAGAAGCUUGCUUCUCUGUGGUAAGCGGCGGACGGGAGAGGAACACGUGGAUAAAAUACCUAUAAAACUGGGACAACAUCGGGAAACAGUAGCUAAAAACGGAUAAUAAUUCGACACGCAUGGUUUAAAAGUCAAAGACGGUCUUGGUGAUAAUCAUACAUGUAUCGGCGCGGCCUUAGCUAGUUGGUAAGGUAACGGGUUACCAAGGCAACGAGGCAUAACCGACCUGAAAGGGUGGACGGCCACACUGGAAGUGAGGCCCGGUCCAGACUCCGGGGGGGAGCCACAGCAGAGAAUCUUCCGCGAUGGACGAGAGCCUGACGGAGCAACGCCGCGGGAGUUAUGAUGGUCUUCGGAUCGGAGAACUCUGUUAUUAGGGAAGAACAUAUGUGUAAGUAACUGUGCACAUCUUGACGGUACCUAAUCAGAAAGCCACGGCUAACUACGUG
rnacentral:rRNA from 1 species